CAGACUCCAAUGAGAGGAUGAUGUUGUGAGCCUUGGAUCCUCGCUGUAAUUUUCAAGAUGUGUUUCAAUCCAUGUACAUCAUAUUAAAGAAGUUACUGAAACCGUGAACAUCACAUGAUUUUCAGGCAAAAUUAUAAAUCAAAGUCCACCAUGAACUCCUCUGAAAUACACUACCAAGCACCUUAGGGAAAGGAGGAGAUAACCAGCCCUGUUGAUCAAAGGAACAAGGAGAUGGAUUCCUUUUAAAUUUCUUUGCUUGACUGCCCAGAGCAUUUCAGUCAGAUGCCCCUAUAGCCCCUCA